GUAGUCAUAUGCUUGUCUCAAAGAUUAAGCCAUGCAUGUCUAAGCACAAGCCGAUUAAUGGUGAAGCCGCGAAUGGCUCAUUACAACAGCCACUGUUUACUUGAUCUUGACUAUCCUACUUGGAUAACUGUGGUAAUUCUAGAGCUAAUACACGCAAAAAAGCUCCGACCUUACGGGACGAGCGCAUUUAUUAGACCAAAACCAAUCGGGCUUCGGCCUGAAACGUUGGUGACUCUGAAUAACUGAGCUGAUCGCAUGGUCUCGUACCGGCGACGUAUCAUUCAAGUGUCUGCCUUAUCAACUUUCGAUGGUAGUUUAUGUGCCUACCAUGGUUGUUACGGGUAACGGAGAAUAAGGGUUCGACUCCGGAGAGGGAGCCUGAGAAACGGCUACCGCAUCCAAGGAAGGCAGCAGGCGCGCAAAUUACCCACUCUCGGCACGAGGAGGUAGCGACGAAAAAUAACGAGGCGGUUCUCUAUGAGGCCCGCUAUCGGAAUGAGUACAAUUUAAACCCUUUAACGAGGACCUAUGAGAGGGCAAGUCUGGUGCCAGCAGCC
rnacentral:rRNA from 1 species